rnacentral:rRNA from 1 species
CUCGGUGCCUUGAGCGGAGCGGGUACACCUGUUCCCAUCCCGAACACAGCAGUUAAGUGCUCCAGCGCCGAUGGUACCCCCUUGGGGGGAGAGUAGGUCGGUGCCGAGA